UUUUGAGGUAGCCUAGUAGACUACUCACGUCAUUGGCCGUAAACAGGUGGUCCAUAUUAAUUUGCUGAUUACACUAGCAGAUUUCCCAUACGAGCUCGGAUGCGCUUGUGAGGAGAAGCGUUAAACUGGCGAUGUCUUGCCAACUAAAAACAUUAACUUCAAUCCUUAUAUUAUCAGCAAUCUCACUUAAUCUCAAUAGUCUUCAUUCUAGCGCUACGGCAAAGCGGGAAGCCGCUGAUUAUUCAGAAGAAAGCAGUUUCAAUAGAGUGUCUAACAAUUUCACCGACAAAACUUCACAACAGCUCCACAUCAGCGCGUUUCAACUCAACGCAGCAAAUUCGGAUUUGAAUCGACUUAGUGGCUCGAUAAAACUUGACGACUCAAAUGAUCCUUCAGACAGAGCUAGCAAUGAAACACAGUCGAGUAAACACACGUAUGACUUGCCAUACAACGACAGUGCAUCUUUAUUCACUAUCAAUGAAAACAUACGAAGUAGUUUCCAGAAACGAGCAUCUGUUAUCGAGGACGGAUUUCAAGGCGAUGCUCCAGCUUUUGGAGGACGAGAAACGGCUGGGAAAAUUUAUGUUUCCAAAAGCUUGUCCAGCUUCCAAAUCAGAGACAUGCGGCUGGCUUUACCCAUGGUACGCUGCUCAGAAGAGGUGAUGACCAUAACAAUGGCUGGAAGAGAAUACACACGGAUAUCUGUGGACAGAGUGGAUGCAGACCCACUGCCCUUAUUUCAGGUGCCUGCAUAUUGUGGCUUUUCUGUCAGGGUCACGUGGAAAGAUUUGGUCCUAAUGGCUCCUUAUGAUGGGUGCUUCAUCACAAAAGAGAAUGACAAUUAUGUACUUUCACUCUUGUGGUGGGACAGUCCCAUAAAAAUAACCUGUCCAAUGGCACCUGUGACCUCAAAUCCAACUCCCUCUGUCUUCUGCUCUGAAUUCGGCAUGGCCAUUGCAAUAAAAGGUGCUCAGCAAGCUGCAGAGAAACACAGAGUUAAAGUGAAGGGGAAGAUACUGCCUCUCCUAUCUGAGACAUGUGCAUAUCGUUUGCCGUCUCCCCCUGAGGUAGUUCUGCUUUACAUCCAAUUCAACACAGGAUGUGUGACUGUGAUGGGCAAUGAGAUCAAUCUUGUCAUCAUCGUGGAUGGAAAGCAGUUCACCCUUUCAUGUCCCUUUCCUCACUACUGGUCUCGAUUUGGUCCCUACCUUCAUUCUCCAUACUAUCAACCACUGCAGCCCAGUCAGAUACCCAGUACUUAUGAGUACCAGAAACCGCCUGGUCUCUUUCAUCUCAUGUUUCCCCAUCAUCAUCAUCAUCAUCAUCACCGUCAUCGUCAUUAUCCUGCACCUCCUGUGGAUGCUCUUCCCAAAUUUUCAAUAAAGCCAUAUCUGCCUCCACCUGUUGAGCAAAUGCCACAAAUGUUUCAGUACCCAGUUUUGCCUCCUCUGUAUCUUGAGCCGUCCAUUGAUUUGCAACCAACUACCCCUCCAGUGACUUCAUUUCUUCCUCCUACAUACAAUCCACCGACCCGUUCCGUCAUGCAAGAGAAGGUUUUCCCUCAAAUGCCCAUCUUUCCCCCAGCUCCCCCUGCAAAACCUUCCAAAACAUCUCCGUCACUUCAUUGCACAAGAGACAGAUUAAUUGUAACUUUGGCCUCAGCAACAAUAGACUCCAUUAAGGUCAAAGGUAAGUUCAAGUGUAGUGGCCAUUUCAUUGCCGGAAUAUAAACACAAUUAGACAUUUAAAUGCAUUGCUCUUCUCAUAAUAUUCGUAAAGAUGUGGAGACAAAAGAAUGGAUCUCGAUUUCAUCGGUGUCCGCUGCCUGUAACUACAACCUUCGCUCUGUAGGGGAUAAUGUUGUGCUCUCUUCACCACUCCCUUCCUGCCACACAACACAAAAGGUGAGUCCUCAGUGCUGAGAUUUUACACAUUCACUACAUUCAAAUCAGAAGGGCUCUUUCAUAUGCCCUAAUCCCUUUAAAGGAACCCUUCUUUGCUCAAAGCAUCAUGGCUCAAAAUAGCCAUUGUAUCCUUUAAAACCCUUUACCCCAAAGGUCAGCUUUGAGCAUGUAUGUUUAUAAUGACACUUCAUUAUGGCGGCAUUGAUAAUUUUCACUCCAAAAGUGCCCUUUGGAGGGCUAUGU
rnacentral:lncRNA from 1 species